UAUUCUGCCCCAUGGGGAAGGAUGAGAAGCUUCGACUAAGGUUCGACUCGAGCGAAGCGAGAGAACGUUGCCGCAGGCAACGGCCCGGAGGGCGAGGCGCUUUAGCGCCGAGUAAUCCUUCCCCCACCACUG
rnacentral:sRNA from 1 species